rnacentral:lncRNA from 1 species
CCAAAAAUCAUACAGCUUUAUCUUGAGUUUUCAAACUUCUGGGUGAUUCACCAUAAAUAUCUCAGUUUAGAUUCUAGGUGAUUCACCAUAAAUAUCUCAGUUUAGAUUCUAGGUGAUUCACCAUAAAUUCUCAUUUAGAUUCUAGGUGAUCACCAUAAAUAUCUCAGUUUAGAUUCUAGGUGAUUCACCAUAAAUAUCUCAGUUUAGAUUCUAGGUGUAUCACCAAAAUAUCUCAGUUAGAUUCUAGGUGAUAAAAUACUCA